CAUCCCUCGCUGGUGGCAGAUCUGGGUGUGAAUGCGUCCUCGGUGAAGCUGGGUCGGCUCCUGGGAAGCUUAGCAACUCAGACACAAAGGUCAGAGCCUAUUCCUUCACCACUGCACAUUGUCUAAGAGGAGGUUGCAAUGCAUGCCAUAGUCUAAAGACUUAAAUGUUCAGAAGUCCUGUCUGAAGAAGGAUAGAAUCAUCUUGCCUGCCCCAAAUCUUUAUCUUUAAAAAUCACACUUCUAUCUUCAGAGUUACCGGAUGGCCUCAAUUGAAUUAUGAUGAUCAGAUUUUAGGACAUGAACUAACAACAAAUUUUCUAAAAUGUAUAAAAUGCACCUAUUAUGCAUAGGUCUAGAGAUCACUAGAAUGUUAGCAGGAAAGCUGCAGUUUUACCUGUAUGGGCUAAUUGCUGCAUUGCUUUGGGAUUUUAAAACUUAGUCACAAGUCUCUUGAUGUAAGCGAUGUUUUCUAUUAUAAUCUCAAGACACACAUGAAGUGGUACACUAAUAGAGAGAGUCACAAGACAGUCACAUUUACUUGGUAAACCUCCAAAGAUAGUUGGAAGGAAAUCUGAAGAUACAAUGCAGAACAAUGUUCCCUUUUUGCAUUUGAGACUAUUCAUGUUAUUGAAA
rnacentral:lncRNA from 1 species